AAGUCGUAACAAGGUCUCCGUAGGUGAACCUGCGGAGGGAUCAUUACAAAAACGAUAAAGAGUUGCAAGACUCGACAACCAUCGCGAACGUACCUCGUCGUUGCUUCGGCGGGCGGCCCCCCGGCCCUGGUGCCGGGGGCGCCCCUGGGCCCGCCUGUCGGGCGCCCGCCGGAGGACCAAAACAACACCUCUGUUUUCUCUACCGCCUCUGAGUCGACUAGCAAAAUCAGUUAAAACUUUCAACAACGGAUCUCUUGGUUCUG
rnacentral:misc_RNA from 1 species